rfam:Triticum aestivum genome assembly, contig: Triticum_aestivum_CS42_TGACv1_scaffold_052910_1BS
AAGAUACUCCCUCUGUUCGAAAUUACUUGUCGCGGAAAUGGAUGUAUCUAGACGUAUUUAUUUCUAGAUACAUCCAUUUCCGAGACAAGUAAUUCCGAACGGAGGGAGUAGACA